rnacentral:rRNA from 1 species
GAACGUCUUACGGGUUUUCGGACCCGCAAGGAGUGGCGGACGGGUGAGUAACACAUGGGUGACCUACCCCCNGGGUGAGGGAUACCGGCGAGAAAUCGCCGACAAGCCCGCAUAGGCUGGCUCUGGUGGAGCGGAGCGAGCAAAGUUUGUCGCGAGACAGACGCCAGGGGAUGGGCCUGUGGCCGAUUAGCUGGUUGGUGGGGUAAGAGCCUACCAAGGCUGCGAUCGGUAGCUGGUCUGAGAGGACGGACAGCCACACUGGGAUUGAGAACGGCCCAGACUCCUACGGGGGGCAGCAGUGAGGAAUUUUCCGCAAUGGGCUCGAGGCCUGACGGAGCAACGCCGCGUGCAGGAGGACGCUUUUCGGAGUGUAAACUGCUUUUCUGUGGGACGAGUGAGGACGGUACCACAGGAAGAAGCCCCGGCUAACUACGUG